rnacentral:tRNA from 1 species
AAAGUAAAGAAGUAAAAAAUUACAUUUAGUUUCGACCUAAAAAUAGAGUAAUAACUCCAUACUUUU